rnacentral:rRNA from 1 species
CAAUAGCGUAUAUUAAAGUUGUUGCAGUUAAAAAGCUCGUAGUUGGAUUUCUGGCAGAGUGUCCUCCGUCCAGCAGUUCGUUUGGUUCGGAGCGCUCUACCAUCCUUCUGUUAACCUUUCCGGGAUUUACUUUUCGGACUGGGGCUCAGAUAUUUUACCUUGAAAAAAUUAGAGUGCUCAAAGCAGGCUUUUCACGCUUGAAUAUUCGUGCAUGGAAUAAUGGAAUAGGAACUCGUUUCUAUUUUGUUGGUUUUCGGAAAUCGAGUUAAUGAUUAACAGGGACAAUUGGGGGCAUUAGUAUUCAGACGACAGAGGUGAAAUUCUUGGACCGUCUGAAGACUGACUACUGCGAAAGCAUUUGCCAAGAGUGUUUUCAUUAAUCAAGAACGAAAGUUAGAGGUUCGAAGACGAUCAG